rnacentral:rRNA from 1 species
AUUGAACGCUGGCGGCAGGCCUAACACAUGCAAGUCGAACGGUAGCACAGAGGAGCUUGCUCCCUGGGUGACGAGUGGCGGACGGGUGAGUAAUGUCUGGGAAACUGCCCGAUGGAGGGGGAUAACUACUGGAAACGGUAGCUAAUACCGCAUAACGUCUUCGGACCAAAGUGGGGGACCUUCGGGCCUCACACCAUCGGAUGUGCCCAGAUGGGAUUAGCUAGUAGGUGGGGUAAUGGCUCACCUAGGCGACGAUCCCUAGCUGGUCUGAGAGGAUGACCAGUCACACUGGAACUGAGACACGGUCCAGACUCCUACGGGAGGCAGCAGUGGGGAAUAUUGCACAAUGGGCGCAAGCCUGAUGCAGCCAUGCCGCGUGUAUGAAGAAGGCCUUCGGGUUGUAAAGUACUUUCAGCGGGGAGGAAGGCGUUAAGGUUAAUAACCUUGGCGAUUGACGUUACCCGCAGAAGAAGCACCGGCUAACUCCGUGCCAGCCGCCGCCGUAACAC